rnacentral:misc_RNA from 1 species
GAUGAAGAACGCAGCGAAAUGCGAUAAGUAAUGUGAAUUGCAGAAUUCAGUGAAUCAUCGAAUCUUUGAACGCAUCUUGCGCUCCUUGGUAUUCCGAGGAGCAUGCCUGUUUGAGUGUCAUUAGAUUCUCAACUACACUGAUUUUGAAUUGGUGUGGCUUGGAUUUGGGGGGAAAAUUGUUGUGGGCUUUUUGUAUAGUCUGCUCCCCUGAAAUUGAUUAGCGGUACCUUUGUGGAACUGUCUACAGGUGUGAUAAUUAUCUACAUCUUAGACAUCUGCUGGAAUGCUGCUUUCUAAACCUUACUUGUAUUGACAAUCUUGACCUCAAAUCAGGUAGGACUACCCGCUGAACUUAAGCAUAUCAAUAAGCGGAGGA